rnacentral:lncRNA from 10 species
CAAAAAUAGCCCUGCUUCUUUCCUGGGGAGGGAUCGCACUUUCUAGAGGGGCGGUUUUCAAAGUAUGGUCUCAGGACUAGCAGCAUCGAAAAUGCUGGGAACUCGUUAGAAAAGUACUGUUCCACGCACUUGACACCAAUCCACCCAUUUCACCUGCAUGAUCACCCUGCCUUUGCAUGAGUUGCCGGUGUGGACAGAGCAGGGACACAGUGAGACAGCGGAUUCCAGCUUUGCUCUUACCUAGAACACACUGCCUCUCACCAGGAAUCGUCCUUCCAUUUUAUGCAGUUAUCCCAGACAAUGAUGCACAAGCUUUGGGAAAAAAACCCCACAAGUCCAAAGGUGUACUUCAUAAUAAAGGCAAGUUAUCUGUC